rnacentral:lncRNA from 1 species
GGGGAAAAUUGCUCAUUAAAAAGUAAUAAAUGUCAAGCGGGCAAAUCAGCUUUUUUGUUAAGGAUGCAACUUUAAUAAUCUCAUCAUUUCCACUCUGCUGUAUUCCAUCUACCAAUUAGAUUCCCUUCUGUUUGGCCAAUUAAAUUAAAUUAAAUUCCUCUCUUUGCAGACAUGAAAUGGGAAAAUGAUAUUCGUCAGUUAUUAGAGCAACACUGCAACACACAAAGAAGCAACACUCAGGACGGCCAGGACACAAUCACCAGCAAAGGGAUAACUGACACAGGACAUUGCCAGACAAGGACAAUUACGGAGCUACACAAUGAGAAGCCGAAGCCUGAAUGGACUGCAGUGUCAGUGGCAGGACGAACAUGAAGAAGCAAACAGUAUGACCACAGCCACCUCAUGAUGAGGAUGCUCUCCAGAACAGGACCACUUGCAGUGACCAGUUCUGAAAAGAGAAACUGCUGAAGAGAGAAAAUAGUUGCUAGAGUUAGAAAGGCUGAAAGGUAUAUAUGGUGUGAAGAUAAUUGUUAAGUUUAAGGCCAAGAUUAUCUAUUUGAUUUGUGGAAACAUUUUGAACAUAUCCUGACAACAGCUUUCAUCCUUCACUCACAGCAAUUUCUGGAAGGAAAACCUCAAGGUUCAAGCAUUUUCCACCUUCCCAUGGUCAUCGUUUUGGCCCCCACAAUUCUGGCAAUUCCAAACAAUAAGUUGCCAUUUUACUGCCGAAUGCUUAACCUUGUCCCCAAUCGAAAAGGGAGCAGUCAAGUCCUACAGCGUCCCCGACCCAUGCUCCCCCAGAUGUUGCCCAAGAUUAUUUUCAUUUUCACCAUUUUCUUGCUUCUCUUUGUUCGGUUGCCUAGAAAAGGAGAGAAUGGCUGAGGAGGAAGAGGAGGUGGGAAAGUAGCCUUCGUGGGCAGAAGCCUAAUCAGAUAUUUACGCCACAGGCGGCGGCUUCAAGUCGGAAAUAUAUCCUGCGGCACACAGGUCUGCCUCCUCCUCCUCCUCCAAACACAGAAUCCACCCACAGUCCCCGUAUCACAUUUGAGCUUUGUGCUUUCGACUCUCGCUGGGCGUUAAAAUAAAUGAGAAGCAUUUAAGGACAAAUCCCCAUGGCAGACCAACAUCCGAGUCCGAGUCCAAAUCCGAAUCAAUAUGCCUGGCCGCACCAUGUGAGCGGCGCUCUGUGUUUUCGGUGGGGUAUCCUGGGAACUCUCCCACUCUCAAUCUCACUCUGUUCCACUUAAUUGGAAGCAUUUGUCAAAAAUUGCAUUGCAAAGUUGGGAAUUUCUGUAUAAAUUUCUCAGUGGAGGCGUGGCAUAAAUCCCUAAUGUCCAAGCACAAACAUCCAGCACAUCUGCAUUGGAACGUGUCCAAGUAGGAGAGGCCCAGGAAUCGGGUCACAGUUUCCACUUUCUCUUGAGCUGGCGGAGCACUCAUUGUGUGUUCCCUCCUUUGAUGCAUGUGUGUGGACUGAGGAAAAAAAGCAGAGGAAAGGAAAGAGGGAAGCAAAGAAAAGUUUGUGGAGCACAUUUCACUUGACCUGGUUGGGUGGUUCCGAUUGCCAGAGAGGAAACUGUUUGAGCCCGUUGGUUGGAAGAGUAUAAGAAGUUUGCCAAACAGUUGCAUUGUAUGCCAAGGCGAAGAAUCGCAUCGUGGGUGGUUUGAUGGUAGAACUAGGGAAAGCAGAAUGAGAAUGGAUUACAAAGAUUCAAGAUUUUUGCUGCAGGCUGUAC